rnacentral:rRNA from 1 species
CAGCAGCCGCGGGAAUACGAAGGGGGCUAGCGUUGUUCGGAAUUACUGGGCGUAAAGCGCACGUAGGCGGCUUUGUAAGUUAGAGGUGAAAGCCCGGAGCUCAACUCCGGAAUUGCCUUUAAGACUGCAGAGCUAGCAGGUGAGAGAGGUGAGUGGAAUUCCGAGUGUAGAGGUGAAAUUCGUAGAUAUCAGGAGGAACACCUGUGGCGAAAGCGGCUCACUGGACCAUAACUGACGCUAAGGCACGAAAGCUAGGGGAGCAAACAGGAUUAGAUACCCGCGUAGUCCCUGUCUCUUAUAC